GGCGGAUGUGGCGAAGUGGUUAACGCACCUGAUUGUGGUUCAGGCAUUCGUGGGUUCGAUUCCCAUNCUCCAAAACCUCCA
rnacentral:tRNA from 1 species